GCAAGAAACAAAUGUUAUCAUGAGAACCUCAUUUCACUUCUUACUCGAUGCAGCAUAGCGGUCAAGCAGUCUCAUUAGUUGUCACACAUGAGUUCUUGGGGCACCAAAACCCGGGCGUGAAAUAACCACCAAGUGUGCUAGGACCAAGUCUUACACAUAUGAUGACUCAUGGUACAAAAACGAAUGUCACAACAUUACUAUAUAAUGGAGUUCUGUACAAAAUAAUAAAUAAUUACAUCAUACGAAGACAACAAUCCAGCAACCCAAAGUUGACUGGGAGACGACGACCUAGACCUCUCACGAACACAUCACGCCAUCCUUCAUGUUCCUCAUCCUAGGGUACCUGUCCUUGACCUGGGGGAUGUGAGUACAGUAAGGGUGAGCUCACAUACGUUCAUCACUCAAUAAGUUAUGGGGAAUAAUGUGCAUGAACUCACCAAAGGUGGGAGCCCAUGUGAAGUGUAAGGCUUACUAAAGAGGGUGGUUAAAGCUGAGCAUUGCUUUUAAAGUUGGUCAAAAUUUUAUUAACAAUUACUAGGUAUAAGUAGAUACCAACCUAAUUAAGUAAGAGAUUAAGAUUAAUAACAACACCCACGUUGCAAUGCAAAUGACAAAUUGAGUUUAAUUCCAUAAGUUAAUCAUGUCAGGGUUCGAGCUGCUCAUGACCGUGAGCGCGGCUAAUAUACUAGUUUUACAAUCUGCAGAGGUUGCACAUCUUUACCCACAAGUCGUGUAACCCAUUUGCCAUGGGGUUGAUUGGACCCCAUACACCUCUACCAAGGAAGCGAGGCAGGGUUCCACUACGAGGCAUUUACAAAGUUCCACUAGCUUCAUAAAACCCGCUACAGUUCUAGGGAGCGCAGCAUAGGAACCCCCCGUCUGAAAAGCCAUCGCAGCAAAAUCAGCCUGAGAACCUCCCUAUACCAACCACUCCCCUAAUGCCCUUGCCCCUUUCUGGUAAGGUAGUCCUCCACUAGCUUUCCUAAUUAGUCAGCCAAGGGCGUCCCAUACCACCCUUGUGGUAGCACUGUUUUCCCGGAUGGUUCUCCAUGUUCCAAUUAACAAUAUGAUCUUAUCAUGAACAAUAAUUAAACAACGACAUAAUUGGAACAUGAUCAUAAUAAAACAUUAGUUUCCCAAAACCAGGUAGAGCAAUAGCAAAUCUACCCAAUAGUUCAUCUGUUUGCAAGGUGGGGGAUAAACAAUGCUAGGGAAACCUAUUAGGUCCCAUCAAAUUAACCUGAGCAUGCCAUAGUGAUUAACAACGAACAUUAUUAGGUAAAAAUAAGUAAUCAAGGGCACAACUUGCCUGAGACUCAAGAUUCCAGGUGACAGGAUGAUCUUUAGAUUCUCGUGACCUCACUGCUGUUCGUAGCAAUACAAACAAACAUGGUAUAGGAAAAAUUAAAAUCACAUCAAACAUAAGCACAAACUACAUAAUAAUAUUCUAUGCGUCAUAAUGAGAUCGUAGGUUCGAGAAUCACUAAAUUUGGAGUUACGAUUAGCGAGUUAUGAUUUUCUGAUGAUUUAAGUGUUGAAUAUAAAAGAAAUUAAGUGAAUAAUUUUAAUCUAAGUUUCAUAAAAAACUGAGGUUACCAUAAGAUAAACAAUAUUAUUAUGAAUUUAAUGCAACUGGAAUGGAUCAAUUUGGAGUUAAAAUUGAUUACUUAUGAAUUAAUCAAGAUUCUAGAUUUAUUUUUACCCUAAAAAUCAUUUUCUCGGAAUUAUUUUACUUAAUUCAAGCACUGUGGACUGGGCACACUAUUUCAGAAGAGUUCAGAGGGUUCUGCGUAAAUUAUAGGACCACACUAUAAUGGUUUUAACAUUAACCUAGACGGCGGGUUGAUUUUAUAAAACAUAGGGUUUCUUUUGCAAGAUACGCUGGCCGAAGGGGUAUCGCUCAGAUCUGCCCGUCUGAUCAAAACCAAAGGCCACGAUUAGAUCGCCGUUAUUAUGAACCGGUACACGACUGUGGUUGUCCGAUCUUAAUCCAAUGGUCCAAAUUCGACCACGUCUCGCAAUCCGUUGAUCCAGAGAUCAACGUGCACGAUUCAGUGCGGUGAAUUGCUACACAAAUCACAUACUAGCUGUUCGAUACACAACCGGUGGAUGAGAUCAAUCCGAAUGAAGGGGUAUGUUGUAAGCUAAUCCUAACCGUCCACUUAAGGUUGAUGGCCCGGAUUGAAUGAGGUCACAAUCUAAUCCUGAUCGUCGUUUGCAAAUCCAACGGUCCGAGGGCCUUCUUCCACCCCACCGCCGAGCCACGGCGAGGCCACCCACUAGGCGGAGGUGACCACGCCGGAGUGCAUGCAACCGGCGCGCCAGAGCCCUAAUUCCCAAAUCGAAAGCCACUACCCGAUGCUACAACCAUGGCGGGUCAGAGAAGGAUAUUAUCACCGACUGUGAAGGCGGGGGAGCUCCAGACCUCGUCGAUGCAGGGCCCCACGGCAUCGCCAAAACCACGGCGAGCAAUUCCCGCCGCACCGCACACCCACCUCGCCCGGUGUGUCCACGAACACCUCCCAAGGAGCUAGUUGAAGCUCCCAGACCCAGCGGAGAGACCCCGACGAGGGUGAAUCCGCGUAAUCCUCAUGGCGACUUGGAUCUUCUUUCCUGGUUCUGACACGAGUGCUCCCGGCACCCAGCUUCUUGCUGUGGCAUGGCUCCUAAUUGCAGACGCUGAGAGGAGCGCUCGACAUAUAUAGCUGUAGGAGAACCCAAUUGGCCAAGAAUCCAAGUGAUCCGGUUGGUUGCGAUUAUGGCAGCAAAUCUGAGCUUCAGGCGGGAUCUGUUACGAGGUAGAAGACUACGCUGACGAUUGGGUGCCACGUGCAGGCAGCAUAACUCGAGUCCGUGCACGGGAUGAGAGACCGUUCGGGUGGGGCCCGCGCACCGGUGAGUGCACUCGCGUGUAUGAGCGCAGGAGCGGCUGGUAGAGGAGUGGUUGCCAUCAGGGCCGACAAGGCAGUGACCGGAAAGGAGUCCGCACAUAAGGGAUAGUGGCUGAUGGGCGGGGCCCACGUGUCGGCGCCCCAAAAUAGCACUGGACCGAGCGGGAGGUGGGUAUGGGCCGGUUUAGGGAUUCUAGCCCAAGCAGUUGUUUUGUUUUGUUCUCUUUUUUUGAUUUUAUUUUCCUAUUUAACUCUUCAAAUUUAAAUUUCAAAUUCAACCAAACUAAAACUCCAAGGUUGAACUUUCCAAUUAAGUUCACAAACAAAGAAAAAUCCCAGCAUGAUGCAAAUAUAUUUUAUGUGUAUUUAUUCCUUUCUAUUACUUUGCUCAUGUAGUUAUUUUCAUUUAUGACAUCCCAUAAACGAGAAAUUCACAUUAUUAUAUAACCCAAUAGGUAUAAUUAUGGUGAAAUAAUUCACCACCAAUUUAUUUAAAAGGAACACUAACACUAAGACUAAUGUGUUUGCUUGAGUAAUUUUGAUAGUCUCAAAGAUGGAUUGAAAGGGAACAGGUGGACUUGGACAAAGAAAAAGCUUCUACCGCAUUCCGGUAACAAUGUAUCUUGUCCAGAGUCCCUAUCCGUGUUUUCUCAUUGCCUUUGGUUUUACUUGCGAUUUGUGUAAGGCAAUGGGGUUAAAGUGCCAAAAAGUUCUUCUAUUUUGGUGCUUAAUGCCAAAGGGGAGAAAUUAAGGCCAAAGCAACUGGAUCAGCUAACACUUGUGUAUUUUUAAAAAUUUUGUAGUGUAAGAAUACUUUAUUUUUUGAUCAAAACCCUCUUAUUACAAAAAACGCUCUCUUGUGGGGGAGAAAUUCGAUUAUGGAAAAAGGGGGAAUUUUGGUACUUGAUCAAAUCUAAUCUUCUAAAUGUUUUGAUUUUUCAAAACAAGUGUUUUUGACAUAGAGAUAGGAAAAUAAAUUUGUUUUAUGAAAUCAAACCAAGUGGUGGCAAAAGUGAUCCAAAUAUGUCAAAUCAUAUGUUAGAUAAAUUGGUAUUCAAAUUUGACAUCAAGUUGCACUCUUUAGCUUGCAUUUGAAAAUGUUGUUACAUUUUGAGUUGUUUUUGAUGUGUUGCCAUAAACCAUCAAAAUGGGGGAGAUUGAAAGGGAAAUGUGACAUUGGGCCAUUUUUAUUAUGUUUUGGUCAUUAGAUGCUCAACACAUAUUUGUUUUGCCUAAAUCUGAGCUAAGGCUUAAAAAGAUGCAAAUGCAAAAGCAAGGUACGAUUCUAGACUUAGUAAAUUGUUUUUGGUACUAACAUUAUUCUACUAAGUGCUAGGAACCUUCUCAAAGUGAGAGAAAUCGAAUUGGAGAAGUUUAGCUAAGGCAAGCCAAACUUGCACCAGCCUGUGGUGCAUCGGACUGUCAGGUGUGCACCGGUCAGUGUCCAGUGCCUAGGCUGGCGCACGAGCGAACAGGCCGCUCUCGGAAAAAUGCUGAGGGCUCCACGACUAUAAUUCACCGGACUGUACGGUGUGUAUCGGACUGUCCGGUGUGCCAGCCGCGUGCCCGCCAACGGUCGACCGCGCGAUCAAUGGGUGACAUGUGGCUCAUCCAACGGUCAGAAGGUCGCACCGGACUGUCCGGUGUGCCACGGGGGGGGGGGGGGGGGUGGGUGCAACGGUCGUCUUCGCCAGAAAAGGAAGGGAAUCGUGCACUGUUCGGUGGUGCACCGGACUGUCCGGUGAGCCCACGGACAGAAGGCAACCAGAGCCUUCCAAAUGGAGUUCAAACGGAUCCUAGCUGCAUUGGGGCUAUAAAAGGGACCCCUAGGUGCAUGGAGCGCUACACCAACCACUCAUUGAACAUCCAACAACGCCGAGACAUCGAAUUCACGUGUUUGCUUUCGUAGAUUGAGAUUUGGGCACUUGUGUUAAGCUAUAACUCGGAUGUGCUAUCUUUGUGCUUCUCUCUCUCAUUUUGUGUGUCUGAGUCACUGCAAGUUUAUCUCGUGUGUGUGGUUUCAUUCCCUCCCUUACUCUUGUGGUUUUAUUGUGAUCAAUCUUGUAAGGGUGAGAGACUCCAACUUGUGGAGAUUCCUCACAAAGGGAAUACUUGAGAAACGGAUGAAAGCCGUGGUACUCAAGUUUGAUCUUUGGAUCACUUGAGAGGGAUUGAUUGCAAUCCUUGACCGAAGGAGGUCACCACAACGUGGAGUAGGCAUUGGUCGAACCACGGGAUAAAAUCACCAUGUCUCUUAUGCAUCUUUCUAUUGUGAUUGCUUUCUUCCAUAGAGUUCUCACUUGAUCACUUGCGCUAUUGUUCCUAAGUUCAAUACAUAUCCUAAAGGAACAAUCAAGUGAAGAGUUAUUUUCUCUCUAUUCAUAUCACCUUGGUUCUAAUCUCACUAACAUUUAUUAUAAACCAAGUUGGUGUUGUUUAGACUUGAUUUUUACAGGAUCACCUAUUCACCUCCCCCUCUAGGUGCUCUCACAUAUAGCAAUGUGUUUUGUGAUCUCUCUUUUCAUACCAUACCACUAUAAUCUCUUCUUUAGGUCUUCGUACAUUUUUCUCAUUUCUAGGGUGCAUGGAGUAGGUUAUCUCAUGAACAUAUUUGAGGAUUAGCUCCUGAAUGAACUUGAUGUCAGGAACACACAAUUGAUCCUUGAACCAUAUUAUGUCAUCUACAUCUUCUCGAAAGUCCUCGCCUCCCUUGCAUGAUGUUCAUGAAGCUUUGGGUAACUCAUAUGGCCUUCUUAACUUGUCAAACUCCUUGGCUAACUCGUAUGGCAUUGGGUGAGCGGCCUUCAUGUUGACUUGACUCUUCCUACUCAAAGCAUCUGCAACACAUUCGCUUUGCCCUGAUGGUAAUGUAUCUCCAACUCAUAGUCUUUGAUCAAUUCCAACCAUCUUCGUUGCCUCAUGUUUAGCUCGGAUUGGGUGAAUAUGUAUUUAAGACACUUGUGGCCUAUGUAGACAUCACAUUUCUGCCCAUAUGGGUAAUGUCUCCAUGUCUUUAAAGCAUGAACCACUGCUGUAAUUCUAGAUUGUCUGUUGGAUAAUUCCUCUCAUGGAUCUUUAGCUCUUAAGAUGAGUAUGCAACAAAUCUCCAUUCUUGCAUUAGCACACAUCCCAAUCCAGUGUAAGAAGCAUCACAGUACACUGAGAAAGGUUUGUGAACAUCUAGCAGAAUCAAAAGUGGGGUGGUAGUCAACUUAUCUUUUAGCUCUUCAAAUGCCUCUUGGCACUUUUGGGUCCACUUAAACUCGACCUUCUUUGCUAGCAAGGCUAUCAUCGGUCUAACAAUCUUUGAAAAGCUUUCAAUGAAACAUCAAUAAUACCCUGCCAUUCCGAUUAAACUCUUGAUUUCAUGAACAUCUUUUGAAACUUUCUAGUUUAGAAUGUCGGCUACCUUAUUUGGAUCCACAACUAGCCCGUCUCAGUUUAUGAUGUGACCCAAGAACAUGACUUCAUGAAUCCAAAACUCACAUUUACUCAACUUAGCAUAUAACUGGUGCCCUCGUAGCCUUUUCAAUGCCAUCUUCAAGUGUUCCACAUAUCCUCCUCACUUUGAGAAUAUAUGAGAAUAUCAACAAUGAACACCACCACAAACUUGUCCAGAUAAUCUAGAAACACAUUUUCAUUAGGUACAUGAAGAAAGCUGGCACAUUCAUCAGACCAAAGGAUAUCACUGCCUACUAAUAUAACCCAUACUUGGUGAUGAAUGUCGCCUUCGGUAUGUCUGAAGGUCAGAUCCUGAGCUUAUGGUAACCUGACCUGAGAUCUAUCUUUGAGAACACAUUGGCUCCUCUAAGCUGGUCGAACAUAUCUUCUAUUCUCGAGAGGGGGUACUUAAUCUUGAUGGUAACUUCAUUCAAAGCUAUGUAAUCUAUGCACAUCCUCUUGGUACUAUCCAUCUUAUCUAUGGACAGAACUGAAGUGGCCCAAGGUGAGGUACUUGGUCUGAUGUAACCUUUCUCUAAUAGCUCAUCUAUAUGCUUCUUAAGUUCCAUUAAUUUUAGUCCAAACACUAGGUAGGAUCUUUAAGAAAUGGGGGCUAUACUAGGGCCAAGUUCUAUAGCGAACUCAACCUUCCGCUUGGGUGGCAUGCCCGAUAGCUCCUUAGUGCACACAUCCAGAAACUCUAACAUGACCUUAAUGGCCUCAAAUGGGUUGGCCUCCUUGCUGUCAAUGGUCAUCUGGUGGAAUCUCCUUUUUCGGACUCAUGCAUGCUUAAUUUGGUCACUACUUAACCGGAUGGGGAAACCAAAUUCAUGGUCCUCUUAUCACAACUGACACUCGCUCGAUACUUCCUUAGCCAAUUCAUCCCAAGGAUGACAUCUAGCUCAUACGUACCCAUCACUAUUAAGUUAGCGGGGAACUCUAUCCCUCUUAUUUCCACCCCUACAUUCAAACAUAUCUUAUCUAUCUAGACUUUCUCACCAACUGAAUUAAUUCGCAUUGGGGUUGUCAUGGGUCUUGUUGGAAGGUUAUAUGUUUCUACCCAUUUUGUAGCGAUAAAUAAAUGUGUUGCACCAGUAACAAAUAGCACACUUGCUGGACAAGAUUCAACUAAGAACAUACCUACUACCACGUUCGGUGUGUCCUAAAUUGCUUUAGCCUCCAAGUGAUUCACCUUUCCACGGUGGUAUGCCCGACCACAAUUGCCUACUGCUUGUUGGGGUCAACCUUGUCUUGCUACGGUGUUGGGAGCUAACUGUUGCUGUGUCAUCUCAUUCGGGCAAUGUAUUGUCCAGUGGCCUUGCUCUCUAUAAUGAAAGCAUCCUCUGCCUCUGUCACACCCGAGUUUUAGGGGCACCAAACCCGGGCGCGAAUAAUCAAAUGUGUGCUGGGAUCAAGUCUCACACAUAUGAUGACUCAUGGUACAGAAACGAAUGUCAUAUCAUUAAUAUAUAACAGAGUUCUAUACAAAAUAGUUAAAUAAUUACAUCAUACGAAGUCAACGAUCCAUCAACCAAAGGUGACUGGGAGACGACGGCCUAGACCACUCACGAACUCAUCACAACAUCCUUCAUGCGCCUCAUCCUGUGGUACCUGUUCAUGACCUAGGGGAUGUGAGUACAGCAAGGGUGACCUCACAUACAUUCAUCGCUCAACAAGUUGUGGGAAUAAUGCGCAUGAACUCACCAAAGGUGGGAGCUCAUGUGAAGUGUAAGGCUUACCAAAGGAGAUGGUUAAAGCUGAGCAUUGCUUUUAGAGUUGGUCAAAAUUUUAUUAGCAGUUACUAAGUAUAAGUAGAUACCAACCCAAAUAAAUAAGAGAUCAAGAUUAAUAAUAACACCCACAAUGCAAUGCAUAUGACAGGUUUAGUUUAGUUCCAUAAAUUAAUCAUGCGAGAGUCCUGAGUCGCUCUUGACCGUGAGCAUGGCUGAUAUGUCAGUUUUACACUCUACAGAGGUUGCGCCUGAAAGGGAAAUGUGCCCUUGGGCCAUUUCUAAGUAUUUUGGUGAUUGAGUGCCAACACAAGUGGUCAUGUGUUAAUCUAUGCCAAAUGAUGGACAAAGUGAAAAUCAACAUAAAGGUAUGUUUCUAAGUCUUAGUACUUUGUUUUAAGGACUAAUGUAUUGUGUCUAAGUACUGGAAACAGGAGAAAUCAAUUUGGAAAAGAGAUGGCUUUGUUCAGCCAAAGACAGUUCAGUCUGGGAGCACCGGACUAUCCGGUGGUGCACCGGACAGUGUCCGGUGCGCCAGGCUGGCUCUGGUGAAAAGGCCUCUCUCGGGAAUUCGUCGGCGGCGUACGGCUAAAAUUCACCGGACUGUCCGGUGUGCACCGGACUAUCCGGUGAGCCAACGGUCGGCCGAGCCAACGGUCGGCCGCGCAAUCCGCGCGUGACGCGUGGCCGGGCCAACGGUCUGAAGGGGGCACUGGACUGUCCGGUGUGCACUGGACAGUGUCCAGUGCGCCAACGGCUCCAAAUCUCCAACGGUCGGCUGCGCCAAAACAGGAAAGAAAUCCGCACCGGACAGUGUCCGGUGGUGCACCGGACUGUCCGGUGCGCCAGGCGACAGAAGGCAAGAAUUGCCUUCCUAGAAUGCUCUCAACGGCUCCUAGCUGCCUUGGGGCUAUAAAAGGGACCCCUAGGCGCAUGGAGGAGUAUACCAAGCAUCCCUUGAGCAUUCCUAAGCACCAAGACCUCAUUUCCGCGCAUUCGAUUCUUUGUGAUAGCAACUAGAGCUCCAUUUGAGUAGAGAACUCUUUGAGUUGUGUUGAGAGCUCAAGUUGUGACUUAUGUGCGUAUUGUUGCUCUGAUUUUGUGUCUUGUGUGUGUUGCUCAUCCCAUCCUUACUUCCGUGAUUCUUUGUGUUAAUCAAAUUGUAAGGGCGAGAGGCUCCAAGUUAUGGAGAUUCCUCGCAAGCGAGAUAUAGUGAAACAAAGCAAAACACCGUGGUAUUCAAGUGAGUCUUUGGACCGCUUGAGAGGGGUUGAGUGCAACCCUCGUCCGUUGGGACGCCACAACGUGGAGUAGGCAAGUGUUGGACUUGGCCGAACCACGGGAUAAACCACUGUGCCUCUCUGUGUUGAUCUCCUUGUGGUUAUUGUGUUUUGCAAGAACUCCUCUCUAGCCACUUGGCUUUAUUGUGCUAACUCCUAAUCAAGUUUUGUGGCAUUAAGUCUCAAGUUUUUACAGGAUCACCUAUUCACCCCCCUCUAGGUGCUCUCAAUUGGUAUCAGAGCCGUUCUCUUCAAGAAAGGGACUAAUCUCCCGAAGGGAUGGAUCCUAAGGGAAAGGGGAUAGUGAUCAAUGACAAGGAGAAGGAGUCCUUCAUCAAUGAGCCGAAAGACGACAAGCCCACUGACUCAGGCUCAAGUCAUAAGAAGAAGGACGGGAAGAAGAAGAGGCGUAUCAGGAAGAUCGUCUACUACGACGACAACGACGAGUCUUCUUCUUCCCAAAAGGACCACGACGACAACGACUACGAGAAAAGGAAGACGGUUAAUUCAAACUUUUUCUUUGAUUAUUCUCGUAUUCCGCAAAAUUCCAAUGCUCAUUUGCUUUCCAUUCCCCUCGGUAAACCUCCUCACUUUGAUGGAGAGGACUACAGAUUUUGGAGUCACAAAAUGCGUAGCCACUUGUUCUCCCUCCAUCCAAGUAUAUGGGAGAUAGUAGAAAAUGGAAUGCACUUUGAUAGUACGGAUAGUCCCAUGUUCAUCAAUGAACAUAUUCAUAAAAAUGCACAAGCUACUACUGUGUUGUUAGCCUCAUUGUGCAGGGAUGAGUACCAUAAGGUGAGCGGCUUGAACAACGCCAAGCAGAUUUGGGACACCCUCAAGAUCUCACAUGAGGGGAACGAUGUCACCAUGCUCACCAAGAUGGAGUUGGUGGAAGGUGAACUAGGAAGGUUCGCAAUGAUCAGGGGGGAGGAGCCAACCCAAACAUACAACAGGCUCAAGACCCUCGUCAACAAAAUAAGGAGCUAUGGAAGCACGCGAUGGACGGACCACGACAUCGUCCGCCUAAUGCUAAGGUCUUUCACUGUCCUUGAUCCACAUCUUGUAAACAAUAUUCGUGAAAAUCCUAGGUACACCAAGAUGUCACCCGAAGAAAUACUUGGAAAGUUCGUAAGCGGGCGGAUGAUGAUCAAGGAGGCAAGAUACGUCGAUGAGGCAUUGAAUGGUCCAAUUCAUGAGCCUCAAGCCAUUGCACUCAAGGCAACAAAUAGCAAGGAGACGCUACCUAGCAAGGUGGCACAAGUUUAGGCAGCGGGGCUCAAUGAGGAAGAAAUGGCCCUCAUCAUCAAGCGCUUCAAGACAACGCUAAAGGGUCGCAAGGAGCAUCCCAAAAAGAGCAAGACGAAGGGAAAGCGCUCCUGCUUCAAGUGUGGUAAGAUUGGUCACUUUAUUGCUAACUGUCCCGAUAAUGAUAGUGACCAGGAACAAGGAAAGAAUGGGAAAAGAGAGAACAAGAAGGUUUACAAGAAGGCUAAAGGCGAGGCACACCUUAGAAAGGAGUGGGAUUCGGAUUGCUCUUCGUCCGACUCUGACGACGAAGGACUCGCCACCACCGCCUUCAACAAAUCGACUCUCUUCCCCAACGAGCAUCACACCUGCCUCAUGGCAAAGGAGAAGAAGGUAAGUACUCGAAAUGCUAUUACUUAUGCCUCUUCUAGUGAUGAUGAAUCUAGCGAUGAUGAAAUAGACUAUGCUAGUUUGUUCAAGGGCUUAGAUAGAACUAAAAUCGACAAGAUCAAUGAAUUGAUUGAUGCUUUGAAUGAUAAGAAUAGAUUGUUAGAAAAGCAAGAGGAUCUUUUGUAUGAAGAACAUGAUAAAUUUGUAGAGGCACAAAAAUCUCUUGCUUUAGAAGUUAAAAGGAAUGAAAUGCUUUCUUGUGAACUAUCUACUUGCCAUGAGACCAUUUCUAGUUUAAAAAGUGUUAAUGAUGAUUUAAAUGCUAAACUAGAAGUAGCAAAUAGAUCUAACUCUUGUGUAGAACAUGUUGUGGUUUGCAAUAGGUGUAAAGAUUUUAAUGUUGAUGCUUGUAGUGAACACCUAGUCUCCAUUUCUAAAUUGAAGGACAAAGUGGCUAGUCUUAAUGCUCAACUUAAGACUAGCAAAAGUGAAUUUGAUAAACUAAAAUUUGCAAGGGAUGCCUACACGAUUGGUAGACACCCCUCAAUUAAGGAUGGACUUGGCUUUAAGAGGGAAGCCAAGAACUUAACAAGUCAUAAGGCUCCCAUCUCCGCCAAGGAGAAAGGGAAGGCUCCUAUAACUAAUAGUAGUCAAAAGAAUCAUGCUUUCAUUUAUGGUGAUAAGAGAUAUUCUAGAAAUGCUCAUUAUAAUAGGAGUUGUAAUGCUUAUGAUUCAAAUGCCAUGUUUGCUUCAAGUUCUUCCAUUAUGCAUGAUAGAAAUUUGGCUAAGAAAAAUGUUAUGUCUAGAAGAAAUGUUGUUCAUGUACCUAGGAAAGUAAGUAAUGAACAUUCUACAAUUUACCAUGCUUGCAAUGCUUCCUUUGCUAUUUGUAGAAAGGAUAAGAAAGUGGUUGCUAGAAAAUUAGGGGCAAAAUGCAAGGGAGACAAACCUUGCAUUUGGGUUCCUAAGACUAUUGUCACUAACCUUGUAGGACCCAACAAGAGUUGGGUACCUAAGACCCAAGCCUAAUUUGCCUUGCAGGUUUAUGCAUCAGGGGGAUCAAGCUGGAUUAUCGACAGCGGAUGCACAAACCACAUGACGGGGGAGAAGAAGAUGUUCACCUCCUACGUCAAGAACAAAGAUUCCAAAGACUCAAUCAUAUUCGGUGACGGGAAUCAAGGCAAGGUUAAAGGACUAGGAAAAAUAGCAAUUUCUUCCGAGCAUUCUAUCUCUAAUGUGUUUUUAGUUGAAUCGCUUGGAUAUAAUUUGUUGUUCGUUAGUCAAUUAUGUAAUAUGGGAUAUAAUUGCUUAUUCACAAAUGUAGAUGUGUCUGUCUUUAGAAGGAGUGAUGGUUCAUUAGCUUUUAAGGGUGUAUUAGACGACAAACUCUACUUAGUUGAUUUUGCUAAAGAGGAGGCCAGUCUAGAUGCAUGCUUAAUUGCUAAGACUAGCAUGGGCUGGCUGUGGCAUCGUCGUUUAGCACAUGUGGGGAUGAAGAACCUUCACAAACUUCUAAAGGGAGAACAUGUAAUAGGUCUAACAAAUGUAACCUUGAAAAAGAUAGACCUUGUGCAGCUUGUCAAGCAGGUAAACAGGUGGGAAGCUCUCAUCAUACCAAAAAUGUGAUGACCACAUCAAGACCUUUGGAGUUGCUUCAUAUGGACCUCUUUGGACCCGUCGCCUAUCUAAGCAUAGGAGGAAGUAAGUAUGGUUUAGUAAUUGUUGAUGAUUUUUCCCACUUCACUUGGGUAUUCUUUUUGCAGGAUAAAUCUGAAACCCAAGGGACCCUCAAGCGCUUCCUAAAGAGAGCUCAAAAUGAGUUUGAGCUCAAGGUGAAGAAGAUAAGGAGCGACAACGGGUCCGAGUUCAAGAACCUUCAAGUGGAGGAGUAUCUUGAGGAGGAAGGAAUCAAGAACGAGUUCUCCGCUCCCUACACACCACAACAAAAUGGUGUAGUAGAGAGGAAGAACAGGACUCUCAUUGACAUGGCAAGGAAGAUGCUUGGAGAGUUCAAGACCCCCGAGCGGUUUUGGUCGGAAGCCGUGAACACGGCUUGCCACGCCAUAAACCGGGUCUACCUUCAUCGCCUCCUCAAGAAGACUUCAUAUGAGCUUCUAACCGGUAACAAACCCAACGUUUCGUACUUUCGUGUAUUUGGGAGUAAAUGCUACAUUCUAGUGAAGAAAGGUAGGAAUUCUAAGUUUGCUCCCAAAGCUGUAGAAGGGUUUUUGUUAGGCUAUGACUCAAAUACAAAGGCGUAUAGGGUCUUCAACAAAUCAUCGGGUUUGGUUGAAGUCUCUAGCGACGUUGUAUUUGAUGAGACUAAUGGCUCUCCAAGAGAGCAAGUUGUUGAUCUUGAUGAUGUAGAUGAAGAAGACGUUCCAACGGCCGCAAUUCGCACCAUGGCGAUUGGAGAUGUGCGACCACAGGAACACCAAGAGCAAGAUCAACCUUCUUCUUCAACAAUGGUGCAACCCCCAACUCAAGAUGAUGAACAGGUUCAUCAAGAAGAGGCAUGUGAUCAAAGGGGAGCACAAGAUGUCCAAGUUGAAGAGGAAGAAGCACCACAGGCCCCUCCAACUCAAGUUCGAGCGAUGAUUCAAAAGAACCAUCCCGUCGACCAGAUUUUGGGUGACAUUAGCAAGGGAGUAACCACUCGCUCUAGAUUAGUUAAUUUUUGUGAGCAUUACUCUUUUGUCUCUUCUAUUGAGCCUUUCAGGGUAGAAGAGGCCUUGCUAGAUCCGGACUGGGUGUUGGCCAUGCAGGAAGAGCUCAACAACUUCAAGCGUAAUGAAGUUUGGACACUGGUGCCGCGUCCCAAGCAAAAUGUUGUGGGAACCAAAUGGGUGUUCCGCAACAAGCAGGACGAGCACGGGGUGGUGACGAGGAACAAGGCUCGACUUGUGGCAAAAGGUUAUGCCCAAGUCGCAGGUUUGGACUUUGAGGAGACUUUUGCUCUUGUGGCUAGGCUAGAGUCGAUUCGUAUUUUGUUAUCCUAUGCUGCUCACCAUUCUUUCAGGUUGUACCAAAUGGAUGUUAAGAGCGCUUUCCUCAACGGGCCAAUCAAGGAGGAGGUGUACGUGGAGCAACCCCCUGGCUUUGAGGAUGAACGGUACCCCAACCACGUGUGUAAGCUCUCUGAGGCGCUCUAUGGACUUAAGCAAGCCCCAAGAGCAUGGUAUGAAUGCCUUAGAGACUUCUUAAUUGCUAAUGCUUUCAAGGUUGGGAAAGCCGAUCCAACUUUAUUCACUAAGACUUGUGAUGGUGACUUAUUUGUGUGCCAAAUUUAUGUUGAUGACAUAAUAUUUGGUUCUACUAACCAAAAGUCUUGUGAAGAGUUUAGCAGGGUGAUGACGCAGAAAUUCGAGAUGUCGAUGAUGGGCGAGUUGAACUACUUCCUUGGGUUCCAAGUGAAGCAACUCAAGGACAGCACUUUCAUCUCCCAAACGAAGUAUACGCAAGACUUGCUCAAGCGGUUUGGGAUGAAGGACGCCAAGCCCGCAAAGACUCCAAUGGGAACUGACGGACAUGUCGACCUCAACAAAAGAGGUAAGUCCGUUGAUCAAAAAGCAUACCGGUCCAUGAUAGGUUCCUUGCUUUAUUUAUGUGCUAGUAGACCGGAUAUUAUGCUUAGUGUAUGCAUGUGUGCUAGAUUUCAAUCCGAUCCAAAGGAGUGUCACUUAGUGGCUGUGAAGCGAAUUCUUAGAUAUUUAGUCGCUACGCCCUGCUUCAGGAUCUAGUAUCCUAAGGGGUCUACCUUUGACUUAAUUGGAUAUUCAGACUCCGAUUAUGCUGGAUGUAAGGUCGAUAGGAAGAGUACAUCAGGGACGUGCCAAUUCCUAGGAAGGUCCCUGGUGUCGUGGAGUUUUAAGAAACAAACCUCCGUUGCCCUAUCCACCGCUGAGGCCGAGUACGUUGCCGCAGGACAGUGUUGCGCACAACUACUUUGGAUGAGGCAAACCCUCCGGGACUUUGGCUACAAUCUGAGCGAAGUCCCACUCCUAUGUGACAAUGAGAGUGCUAUCCGCAUGGCGGAUAAUCCUGUUGAACACAGCCGCAUAAAGCACAUAGACAUCCAGCAUCACUUUUUGAGAGACCACCAGCAAAUGGGAGAUAUCAAAGUGUUUUAUGUUAGCACCGAGAACCAGCUAGCCGAUAUCUUUACCAAGCCUUUAGAUGAGAAGACCUUUUGCAGGCUGCGUAGUGAGCUAAAUGUCUUAGAUUCGUGGAACUUGGAUUGAUUUGUAGCAUACAUGUGUAUUAUGCCUUGAUCAUGAUCCUUAUGCAUUUUGUUGUUUAUUUAUGGUGCUCAAGUUGUACAAGCACUCCCCAGACCUCACAAGUCCAUUUGCAAGUGAUGCACAUAUUUAGGGGGAGAUGUGCUACAACUUGACUCUUUGGGACUAACCAGGUGGUUGAGUGUUCUUAAAUUAGUCUCAAAGGAGGAUUGAAAGGGAAAGGUGGACUUGGACCAUGAAAGACUUCCACUGCACUCCGAUAAGAGGGUAACUUACUCCAAGUUCAUCUCCAUGUCUCUUAUUGCCUUUUGCUCUUAAUUGACAAUUUUGGUGAGGCAAUGGGGUUUAAGGGCCAAGAUUGAUCCCGUUUUGGUGCUUGAUGCCAACGGGGGAGAAAAUAAGGCCAAAGCAACAAAUGGAUCAGCUACCACUUGAGAAUUGUGAAAAAUAGUAGAGUUAGGACUUUUGAUUUGUCAAAAUUCUAAAUGUCUCUUUUUGUCAAAAGUUGGUCUCUUGUGGGGAGAAUGUUUGAUUAUGGGAAAUAGGGGGAGUUUUUGAAUCAGUGAUCAAUUUCUCUUGGAAUACCUUUCUCUAUGCUUCAACAAAUGAAUUUGACUUAGAGAUAGGAAAUUGAGUUUAGUUUGCAAAAACAAACCAAGUGGUGGCAAAGAAUGAUCCAAAUAUGCCAAAUUAACAAAUUUGUGUUCUUAUUUGCAUUGAUGUUGCACAUCUUUGUAUUGCUUUUGUUGUGUUGGCAUAAAUCACCAAAAAGGGGGAGAUUGAAAGGGAAAUGUGCCCUUGGGCCAUUUCUAAGUAUUUUGGUGAUUGAGUGCCAACACAAGUGGUCAUGUGCUAAUCUAUGCCAAAUGAUGGACAAAGUGAAAAUCAACAUAAAGGUAUGUUUCUAAGUCUUAGUACUUUGUUUUAAGGACUAAUGUAUUGUGUCUAAGUACUGGAAACAGGAGAAAUCAAUUUGGAAAAGAGAUGGCUUUGUUCAGCCAAAGACAAUUUAGUCUCGGAGCACCGGACUGUCCGGUGCGCCAGGCUGGCUUUGGUGAAAAGGCCGCUCUCGGGAAUUCGUCGGCGGCGUACGACUAAAAUUCACCAGACUGUCCGGUGUGCACCGGACUGUCCGGUGAGCCAACGGUCGGCCGUGCAAUCCGCGCGUGACGCGUGGCCGGGCCAACGGUCUGAAGGGGGCACCGGACUGUCCGGUGUGCAUCGGACAGUGUCCGGUUUGCACCGGACAGUGUCCGGUGCGCUAACGGCUCCAAAUCUCCAACGGUCGACUGCGCCAAAACAGGAAAGAAAUCCGCACCGGACAGUGUCCGGUGGUCCACCGGACUGUCCGGUGCGCCAGGCGACAGAAGGCAAGAAUUGCCUUCCUGGAAUGCUCUCAACGGCUCCUAGCUGCCUUGGGGCUAUAAAAGGGACCCCUAGGCGCAUGGAGGAGUGUACCAAGCAUCCCUUGAGCAUUCCUAAGCACCAAGACCUCAUUUCUGCGCAUUCGAUUCUUUGUGAUAGCAACUAGAGCUCCAUUUGAGUAGAGAACUCUUUGAGUUGUGUUGAGAGCUCAAGUUGUGACUUGUGUGCAUAUUGUUGCUCUAAUUUUGUGUCUUGUGUGUGUUGCUCAUCCCAUCCUUAUUUCCGUGAUUCUUUGUGUUAAUCAAAUUGUAAGGGCGAGAGGCUCCAAGUUGUGGAGAUUCCUCGCAAGCGGGAUAUAGUGAAACAAAGCAAAACACCGUGGUAUUCAAGUGAGUCUUUGGACCGCUUGAGAGGGGUUGAGUGCAACCCACGUCCGUUGGUACGCCACAAUGUGGAGUAGGCAAGUGUUGGACUUGGCCGAACCACGGGAUAAACCACUGUGCCUCUCUGUGUUGAUCUCCUUGUGGUUAUUGUGUUUUGCAACAACUCCUCUCUAGCCACUUGGCUUUAUUGUGCUAACUCCUAAUCAAGUUUUGUGGCAUUAAGUCUCAAGUUUUUACAGGAUCACCUAUUCACCCCCCCCCCUCUAGGUGCUCUCAGCGCCCUUUACCCACAAGUCGUGUAUCCCGUUCAGCCAGGGUUUGCAAGGCCCUUAGACACUUCCGAGGUGAAUGGCAAGGGAUCCACUACGAGGCCUUUACAAAGUUCCAAUAGCUUCAGAAAACCUGCUACGGUUUCUAAGAAGGGCAAUAUAAGAAUCCCUCGUCCGAAAAGCCAUCGCAGCAUGAUCGAUCCGAGAACCUCCCUAUACGCAGCUCCUCUACCACCCUUGCCCCUUUCGGGUAAGGUAGUCCUCCACUAGCUUUCCUAAUUAGUCAGCCAAGGGCGACCCAUUCCACCCUUGUGGUAGCACGGAUAUCUCAAGUUAAGCUCCAUGUUCCAAUUAACACAAUGAUCUUGUCAUGAACAAUAAUUGAACAACAACAUAACUGGAACAUGAUCAUAAUGUAACAUUAAUCCCAAAACCAGGUAUAGCAAUAGAAAAACUACCCAAGAGUUCAGUGGUAAAUAAGGUGAGGGAUAAACAAAUCUAGGGAAACCUUUUAGGUCCCAUCAAAUUAACCUGAGCAUGUCACAGUGAUUACCAUGAGCAUUAUUAGGUAAAGAAGAGUGAUCAAGGGCACAACUUGCCUGUAACUCAAAUUUCCAGGUACCAACAUGGUCUUCAAGUGACUCGUAACCUCACUGCUAGUCGUAGCAAUACAAACAAACAUGGUAUAUGCAAAUUUAACAUCACACCAAACAUAUGAACAAACCGCAUAAAAAUAUUCUACGCGAUACUACAAGAGCGCAGGUUCGAGAACGACUAAAAUCAGAGUUACAGAUAAAAAGAUAUAAUAUUCUAAAGUUUUAGGUGGUUAAACGGUAAAUCUUUUAUUCUUUAUUAAUUAAUAUAAGCCAGAAAGGUUAUGACAAAUAAAUAACUAAUUUAUCUUUAAUCUAGUUUAUAACUCGACUAGAGGUUAUAUUUUAGUCACAAUAUUAUUAUGGAUAUAUUAACUUUGUUUAGAAGGUUUAAUUCCAUUGAGCAUAGGUUAAAUGAAUAUUUAUUUAUGAACUCAUGUUAUUUGAUAAAGUAAUGUUACAAAGACGUAGGCAACAUUAUUACGAAGCUAACACAAUUUGAAUGGAUCAAAUCGGAGUUACCAUACCGUUGGAUCCAAAGUCAAUGGCCGAGAUCCAACCAUGCCAGUGCCCACUCCCAGCCCUCGGAUGGACGACUUACAGCCAAGAUUUAAAGUGCCGAAGGGGGGUAUACCCACGGUUCAAUCCCAGUCGUCCAACCCAAAUCUACAGCAGCUGACCCAUCACCCACCUCUGGCAACCCAGAACGGCGGUGUGUGCGCACCACACGGCGGCGCCAUAGCCAGGUGCUACCACUACCAUACACAACCGCCCAAACUUCAACCCAAGAGUUGCUGCACGAAGAGGAUAUCACGUGGAGUUAGGUUAGGGGUACUAUACCGGUGAUAGAUCGGUGCUGAGGGCCGACGACGGGGUUUGGCGGCUCCGCGAGGGUUCUUGACACCGACGAGCAAUCCCAGCAUCCCUAUCGUCACAUGCACCCUCGCGACGCCAUGGAAUAGGCCCCUGGAACCGGACGAAGAUCUCCGGCCCAAACCGGACGCCGCAACGACGGUGAAUCAGAGCCUUUAUGGCGGCGGAUCGCUCACCAAUCUCUCCCCUCACACCGGUGAAACACACACGAAGCAUAGGAGAACUCAAGGAAGGUUGCAAGGUAUGGCGAGAGGCGAGGGACGCGGGUUCAAGUACCCGGUGGUGUGGCCGAAUCGGGUGCAACCACCAUCCCUGCAUGCCGGAGUUGUUGUUCGUCCACCGACG
rnacentral:lncRNA from 1 species